rnacentral:rRNA from 1 species
UACGGAGGGUGCAAGCGUUGUCCGGAAUCACUGGGCGUAAAGGGCGCGUAGGCGGCCCGGUAAGUAGGGGGUGAAAUCCUGCGGCUUAACCGCAGGGCUGCCUUCUAAACUGUCGGGCUCGAGCACGGUAGAGGCAGAUGGAAUUCCCGGUGUAGCGGUGGAAUGCGUAGAGAUCGGGAGGAACAUCAGUGGCGAAGGCGGCCAUCUGGGACAACACUGACGCUGAAGCACGAAAGCGUGGGGAGCAAACAGG